rnacentral:siRNA from 1 species
AUGACUACCAAGUGAUUCAGUUGC